AUGGUCUUAGCUUGCUAAGGCCGAUGGCGACCGGCGCACGGGUGAGUAACACGUAUCCAACCUGCCGUCUACUCUUGGACAGCCUUCUGAAAGGAAGAUUAAUACAAGAUGGCAUCAUGAGUCCGCAUGUUCACAUGAUUAAAGGUAUUCCGGUAGACGAUGGGGAUGCGUUCCAUUAGAUAGUAGGCGGGGUAACGGCCCACCUAGUCUUCGAUGGAUAGGGGUUCUGAGAGGAAGGUCCCCCACAUUGGAACUGAGACACGGUCCAAACUCCUACGGGAGGCAGCAGUGAGGAAUAUUGGUCAAUGGACGAGAGUCUGAACCAGCCAAGUAGCGUGAAGGAUGACUGCCCUAUGGGUUGUAAACUUCUUUUAUAAAGGAAUAAAGUCGGGUAUGCAUACCCGUUUGCAUGUACUUUAUGAAUAAGGAUCGGCUAACUCCGUGCCAGCAGCCGCGGUAAUACGGAGGAUCCGAGCGUUAUCCGGAUUUAUUGGGUUUAAAGGGAGCGUAGAUGGGUUGUUAAGUCAGUUGUGAAAGUUUGCGGCUCAACCGUAAAAUUGCAAUUGAUACUGGCAGUCUUGAGUACAGUUGAGGUAGGCGGAAUUCGUGGUGUAGCGGUGAAAUGCUUAGAUAUCACGAAGAACUCCGAUUGCGAAGGCAGCUUGCUGGACUGUAACUGACGCUGAUGCUCGAAAGUGUGGGUAUCAAACAGGAUUAGAUACCCUGGUAGUCCACACAGUAAACGAUGAAUACUCGCUGUUUGCGAUAUACAGCAAGCGGCCAAGCGAAAGCAUUAAGUAUUCCACCUGGGGAGUACGCCGGCAACGGUGAAACUCAAAGGAAUUGACGGGGGCCCGCACAAGCGGAGGAACAUGUGGUUUAAUUCGAUGAUACGCGAGGAACCUUACCCGGGCUUGAAUUGCAACUGAAUGAUGUGGAGACAUGUCAGCCGCAAGGCAGUUGUGAAGGUGCUGCAUGGUUGUCGUCAGCUCGUGCCGUGAGGUGUCGGCUUAAGUGCCAUAACGAGCGCAACCCUUAUCUUUAGUUACUAACAGGUCAUGCUGAGGACUCUAGAGAGACUGCCGUCGUAAGAUGUGAGGAAGGUGGGGAUGACGUCAAAUCAGCACGGCCCUUACGUCCGGGGCUACACACGUGUUACAAUGGGGGGUACAGAAGGCAGCUACCUGGUGACAGGAUGCUAAUCCCAAAAGCCUCUCUCAGUUCGGAUCGAAGUCUGCAACCCGACUUCGUGAAGCUGGAUUCGCUAGUAAUCGCGCAUCAGCCAUGGCGCGGUGAAUACGUUCCCGGGCCUUGUACACACCGCCCGUCAAGCCAUGGGAGCCGGGGGUACCUGAAGUCCGUAACCGAAAG
rnacentral:rRNA from 1 species